rnacentral:piRNA from 1 species
UUGCUGGUCGAGAGCAGACACGACAAA